ensembl:snRNA U6 U6 spliceosomal RNA
GUGCUCUCUUUGGCAGCACAUAUACGAAAACUGAAACGAUAUAGAAAUUACCAUGGCCAUUGCAUGAGGGGGAAAGAGCCAUUGCAAAAGAAGAGGAAAAGAUUA